GGGAAUGUAGCUCAGUGGUAGAGCGCUUGCCUUGGAUGCCUGAGGCUCUGGGUUCCAUUCCUCAGCACCA
rnacentral:tRNA from 1 species